GAUGAACGCUGACAGAAUGCUUAACACAUGCAAGUCAAUGAGGAGAGAAAUUAAUACUUGUAUUAAUAGAAGGAAUCAUGGCGGACGGGUGAGUAACGCGUAAAGAACUUGCCAUAUGGACUGGGAUAACCAGUGGAAACGGGGGCUAAGACUGGAUAUAUUAAUUCGUGGCAUCACGAAUUAAAGAAGCAAUCCAUAUGAGAGCUUUGCGUCCUAUUAGCUAGUUGGUGGGGUAAAAGCCUACCAAGGCGAUGAUAGGUAGCCGGCCUGAGAGGGUGGACGGCCACAAGGGGACUGAGAUACGGCCCUUACUCUUACGGGAGGCAGCAGUGGGGAAUAUUGGACAAUGGAGGAAACUCUGAUCCAGCAAUUCUGUGUGCACGAAGAAGGUUUUCGGAUUGUAAGGUGCUUUAAGUAGGGAAGAAGGAAGUGACGGUACCUACAGAAUAAGCGACGGCUAAAUACGUGCCAGCAGCCGCAGUAAUAC
rnacentral:rRNA from 1 species